AGAUCGCUCCGAUGGCAUACAUGGUUAGAGCGUCCGUCUGAAGUGCGGGAGGUCGCGGGUUCGAACGCUGGUCGGUCUG